AUUGAACGCUGGCGGCAGGCCGAACACAUGCAAGUCGGGGGAGCGGCGGACGGGUGAGUAAGGCGUGGGAAUCUAGCUAAUGGAGGGGGAUAAAUACGGGAAACUGUAGCUAAUACAGCGUACCAUAGGAUGAGCACAAGUGGGAGUAGUUAGUUGGUGAGGUAAAGGCUCACCAAGCCGGCGAUCUCUAGCUGGUCUGAGAGGAUGACCCGCCACACUCGGACUGAGACCCGGCCCAGACUCCUACGGGAGGCAGCAGUGGGGAACAUUGCGCAAUGGCGGCAACCUCACGUAGCCAUGCCGCGUGAAUUAAGCAGGCCUUCGGGUUGUAAAGUUCUUUCGGUAGCGAGGCGUUAACUACAGAAGAAGCACCGGCUAGCUCCGUGCCAGCAGCCGCGGUAAUUC
rnacentral:rRNA from 1 species